UCUCUGUGUGUGUGUGUGUGUGUGUGUGUGUGUGUGUGUGUGUGUGUGUGUGUCCAUGCAUGUGGGGGCAGGUAGCAUGUAUAUUUCCUGGAGAGCCUGUGAAGGUCAAAGUUUAACUCAAGUGAGGUCUUUCUCAAACUCAUAAAGGACCUAGUAACUGAACUCUACUACCUAUUAUUGGAAAAGCUUUUGUAGGUGAAGAACCUGAAGGAUCUGAGGCUGUGCCAGUACAUGCUGGAGAAAUACUUGACUGGACUCGGGAGUAGGAGCCUAGACAUUGGCCCACAGAAGUGCUGUUCUCCUUCUUUGGAUACCCGUCACAACAACACAAUCUUCUCUGUCUACUGGAGUUGUCUUGGUUGUAGAUUUGGAGAUCCUCAAUAUCCCAGCUUAGUUCUCUAAUGUUAAGUCAUAUCGACUCUUAGCAUAGUACUUUAUUUGCCACUGUUCUUUCUACCUUUAUUUUGCCAGAAUUUUCUAUGGGUAAGUUAUUCCAUCUAUAACACUUUAUGAUGUGUAAGCCCACACGAAGGUACCCAGAGCCCCUACACAAUGUGCUCUUAUUUACCUGUGAGAAGUCCAAGCCAGUAACCCCAAUCUUAACUCAGUGGUGAGAAGGAAUUUAAAACUUAGAACAGGACUUGUUUUCAUUCCUUUCUUGUUAGUAUCAUUCACAACUUCUGUAGAAGUUGGGAGUCCAGAAAGCAAAGGGCGGGAUUUUCUCACAUGAUCUUGACCCAUGUUGGGUUUUUUGUCUUCCAUCUCCACCUUUAACAUUUAAUAUACCACAUCUCUCCAAAGGUCAUGCCUAUUCUAGUGUGCUGCACUCAGUGAAGAAGUUGGAGGAAGUGUCAAAAGAGUGAAGGCCAAGCUCUGACUGUGACAGAGAGUUUGAGAUGGACAAAUGAUGCCUUGAAAAACACGUGACUUUUCGCUGUGACCUCCAUCUACUGUAAAUAACCAACAACCUGUUCAAGGAUCAAUGUGCCUCUGAGAUGAGGACAACAAGGCAUCACUAAGAAAUCUAUAUAGUCCUACCUCCCAGAAGAUGAGUGAAGGUGUUACAGUUAGGAUGACUGUUGACAUGAGGCUCUCAGAGGUUCACCACAAAUCGGAAGGACAAGAUUGAGAUUGCCAUUCUUACGGUCUUUCCAUAGUCUCCCCUUGCAAUUAGAAUUGACCAUCACUGGGGACCUCAUCUAUUAGAUGAAGCUUUUUGAUACUGAAGAGAUUGUUCUACCUGAUGAGCCCAGGCCUAGAAGAUGGACUACAUCCAAGAAGCCUGGCCCAUCUAAGGCCAAGUCACAUCUUUAAGAAAUAUUUGAAAGCAUUUGUGCACGGGAUAAAGGUGCAAGGACCAAAGUCUCCUUAGACAUUCCAGCCUACAGAGGGUCUGACAGACUCAGGUCAAAGGUUACGUCUGAAGCCUAGAUCAUGAAGAAGGCCCCACUCCACAGGAGAAGCCUGUGGCUGAUGCUGUUGCAACCAGGACUAUGAUUGUGAAACUUGUGUCUGUGGAUAGCAGAUUCACGAAUCUUGUGCCCAGAGGUCAAAAUAAACCUGUCAGUCCGGGAGUCUUAACAAGAAUGAUACUCUGGGAUUCAUCUAAGCCAGGCCUCUUACUCAACCCUUCUGCUGCCUAUUUCUUGGUUCUAAGCAUGGACCUCAAAGUCACCCUAAGCCUGCAUCCUGAGUUCACACCCUGAGAUGCACUUAAGACUGACCUGAGAGCUGCUCAAGAGGACACACACGGGUUACACCACAAAGAAAACUCUAUCAAAGCUGACAUAGGCCAGGAAUUUGGUUCCUGACUCGACAGUGCUUGUCCAGUGAGUGUUUUACAAAUUAUAUGGAUUCCCAGGACCAGAGCCAGAGUCACAAAGUCAGGAGCAGUGUAUAGUGUGAAAUUAAUAGCCAACAGAAUCUUCGGUAGCAAGCUAAGAACCUGCAGAGAAACCUCAAACCCAGCCUGCUGGAUGGUGCCAAGAUCCAGUAAGGAACACUUCCUAAGAGAAAACUCUUCCUGGGAGAAUUGCAGCCCAAUAAAUGGAUGCUCUCAUGAUUCUCGGUGAAAUAACUCAUGGACCCUUUUUCCUUGUGAACAGGGAACUUCAAAACAUCAUGGGGUGAGGUGAGGUGAGAUCCAGGGAAGAAGGCUGCCCUUUGG
ensembl:lncRNA